CCUACGGGAGACUGCAGUGGGGGAUAUUGCACAAUGGGGGAAACCCUGAUGCAGCAACGCCGCGUGUGGGAAGAAGGUUUUCGGAUUGUAAACCACUGUUCUUGGUGAAGAUAAUGACGGUAACCAAGGAGAAAGCUCCGGCUAACUACGUGCCAGCAGCCGCGGUAAUACGUAGGGAGCAAGCGUUGUCCGGAUUUACUGGGUGUAAAGGGUGCGUAGGCGGUCUUGCAAGUCAGACGUGAAAACCACAGGCUCAACCUGUGGACUGCGUUUGAAACUGUGGGGCUUGAGUGAAGUAGAGGUAGGCGGAAUUCCCGGUGUAGCGGUGAAAUGCGUAGAGAUCGGGAGGAACACCAGUGGCGAAGGCAGCCUGCCGGGGUGCGACUGACGCUGAGGCUCGAAGGUGCGGGUAUCAAACAGGAUUAGAUACCCCAGUAGUC
rnacentral:rRNA from 1 species